UCUACAGCCGAUCUCGAGCCACCAACGCCUUCGCCAUCACCCUGCGAGAAAUCCGUAAGGAGUGCGACCCUCGGUGAGACUUGUCGCCGUCGUUGAUUUCAACCUUCGCGGCAGGCUGGGCUCUGCGGCGGGUGCAGGGCGUGUCGCCUGGAGUCAUGGGACGCGUCCGUAGACCACUGAGGUCGGAGCAUAAGGCGGGGUUGCCGGAAUUGCUCGACGGACCUCCUCCUCCGCCAACCUACCAAGUGUCACCGCGGGCUGCAUCCUCGCCACUGCAAUCUUGGUGAGGUUGCGAGGAUCUGAAGAAUCA
rnacentral:lncRNA from 7 species